rnacentral:lncRNA from 1 species
UCUUUUUUUCUUUCUGGCCGCUGUCCACGUAAGAUGUGACUUGCUCCUCUUUGCCUUCUGCCAUGAUUGUGAAGCUUCCUAAGCCACGUGGAACUUUCUGGAGGCUGGAAGUCCAAGAUCAAGGUGCUAUCAGGGUUGGUUUCGGCUGUGGCCUCUCUUCCUGGCUUGUAGACAGCUAUCUUCUCGCAGUGUCCUCACGUGGCCUCUUUGUGUGAAGUUAAAAAUGAACAGAUCAACCUUUUACUCUUCUCUGAAAAAUAUAGUGAAAUUAAUAAUCAAGAACGAUUUUCUGAAAUGAAAACAUCCGAACAGCAUACUGCAAAGACAUUCAGGGGAAAAUAAAAUAGGAAGCUGCUAAAGAAUGUGCUUGACUAAAACAAGGCAAUAAGCAAAAGGAAGUCAUAGCAUCCAGAAAAUGGGAUCCAUCAUGCGCACAAAGAAAAGGUGAAGAAAAUUUCCAGGAUGUUCAGAACCCACCAAAAACGAAAGAUUCUGGUCCAGAUCAGAAGAGAGGGAAACACUCUGAAAAAGUCCCUCAAAUACAAAAUUAAACAGAGUUUAAAUGAUGUGCUUGACCACAAUAAAAGGCUUCUUGCUCUGUAA